rnacentral:rRNA from 1 species
AUGAUCACGCCGACAAAAAACGAAAUCAUACAAGACCAAAGCUAUGCCUUGGCCGAUGAAGAAGGAAAAGAACCUGAAGCUAUGAGAAUAACAAUUGACAACACAAAGACUACGAGAAGGGUUCUACAAAAAGUGAUGCCUUCAGGAAGCGAAGGACGUACAAGCGCCGCUGUCGCCGGAUCCACCCGCCGAUGGUCAGAUUGUGGGUUUCAACUUGAAGAUGAAAUCCGAGCUAACUCCCAGCAAUGUCAUCAUCAUGGUAACGACACAAGAACACCACAAUUGCUAGGUAGAACUAACUAA